GAGCUUGUGGUGCAACAGUAGCACGUCUGACUCCCGAUCAGAAGUCAUGUGUUCAAAUCACGUCAGGCUCG